rnacentral:rRNA from 1 species
AAUGGGUCAGCGACUUAUAUUCUGUAGCAAGGUUAACCGAAUAGGGGAGCCGAAGGGAAACCGAGUCUUAACUGGGCGUUAAGUUGCAGGGUAUAGACCCGAAACCCGGUGAUCUAGCCAUGGGCAGGUUGAAGGUUGGGUAACACUAACUGGAGGACCGAACCGACUAAUGUUGAAAAAUUAGCGGAUGACUUGUGGCUGGGGGUGAAAGGCCAAUCAAACCGGGAGAUAGCUGGUUCUCCCCGAAAGCUAUUUAGGUAGCGCCUCGUGAAUUCAUCUCCGGGGGUAGAGCACUGUUUCGGCAAGGGGGUCAUCCCGACUUACCAACCCGAUGCAAACUGCGAAUACCGGAGAAUGUUAUCACGGGAGACACACGGCGGGUGCUAACGUCCGUCGUGAAGAGGGAAACAACCCAGACCGCCAGCUAAGGUCCCAAAGUCAUGGUUAAGUGGGAAACGAUGUGGGAAGGCCCAGACAGCCAGGAUGUUGGCUUAGAAGCAGCCAUCAUUUAAAGAAAGCGUAAUAGCUCACUGGUCGAGUCGGCCUGCGCGGAAGAUGUAACGGGGCUAAACCAUGCACCGAAGCUGCGGCAGCGACACUGUGUGUUGUUGGGUAGGGGAGCG